rnacentral:rRNA from 1 species
ACGGGAGGCAGCAGUAGGGAAUAUUGCACAAUGGGGGAAACCCUGAUGCAGCAACGCCACGUGUGGGAAGACGCAUUUCGGUGUGUAAACCACUGUCGUGAGGGAAUAAGGCUGAGUUUCGGCUCAGUUGAAUGUACCUCGAAAGGAAGCACCGGCAAACUUCGUGCCAGCAGCCGCGGUAAUACGAGGGGUGCAAGCGUUGUUCGGAAUCACUGGGCGUAAAGGGAGUGCAGGCGGAAGUGCAAGCGGUCUGUACAAUACCGGGGCCCAACCCCGGACCUGCAGACCGGACUGCAUUUCUUGGAUAGUUCAGGGGCAAGCGGAAUUCCUGGUGUAGCGGUGGAAUGCGUAGAGAUCAGGAAGAACACCGAUGGCGAAGGCAGCCAGCUGGGGGCUUAUCGACGCUCAUGCUCGAAAGUGCGGGUAGCAAACAGGAUUAGAUACCCUGGUA